CGGCCGGGAACUCAAAGGAGACUGCCAGUGAUAAACUGGAGGAAGGUGGGGAUGACGUCAAGUCAUCAUGGCCCUUACGAGUAGGGCUACACACGUGCUACAAUGGCGCAUACAAAGAGAAGCGACCUCGCGAGAGCAAGCGGACCUCAUAAAGUGCGUCGUAGUCCGGAUUGGAGUCUGCAACUCGACUCCAUGAAGUCGGAAUCGCUAGUAAUCGUAGAUCAGAAUGCUACGGUGAAUACGUUCCCGGGCCUUGUACACACCGCCCGUCACACCAUGGGAGUGGGUUGCAAAAGAAGUAGGUAGCUUAACCUUCGGGAGGGCGCUUACCACUUUGUGAUUCAUGACUGGGGUGAAGUCGUAACAAGGUAACCGUAGGGGAACCUGCGGUUGGAUCACCUCCUUA
rnacentral:rRNA from 1 species